rnacentral:rRNA from 1 species
AGGGAAUCUUCCACAAUGGACGCAAGUCUGAUGGAGCAACGCCGCGUGAGUGAAGAAGGUUUUCGGACCGUAAAGCUCUGUUGUUGGUGAAGAAGGAUAGAGGUAGUAACUGGCCUUUAUUUGACGGUAAUCAACCAGAAAGUCACGGCUAACUACGUGCCAGCAGCCGCGGUAAUACGUAGGUGGCAAAGCGUUGUCCGGAUUU